GGAUGAACGCUGACAGAAUGCUUAACACAUGCAAGUCUAUGAGAAGAUCUACUUCGGUAGAAGGUAUCAUGGCGGACGGGUGAGUAACGCGUAAAGAACUUGCCUCUUAGACUGGGAUAACAGAUGGAAACGUCUGAUAAGACUAGAUAUAAUAGCGACAUGGCAUCAUGUUGUUAUGAAAGGUAACACUAAGAGAGAGCUUUGCGUCCUAUUAGUUAGUUGGUGAGGUAAUGGCUCACCAAGACGAUGAUAGGUAGCCGGCCUGAGAGGGUGAACGGCCACAAGGGGACUGAGAUACGGCCCUUACUCUUACGGGAGGCAGCAGUGGGGAAUAUUGGACAAUGGAGGAAACUCUGAUCCAGCAAUUCUGUGUGCACGAUGAAGGUUUUCGGAUCGUAAAGUGCUUUCAGUAGGGAAGAAGAAAGUGACGGUACCUACAGAAGAAGCGACGGCUAAAUACGUGCCAGCAGCCGCGGUAAUACGUAUGUCGCAAGCGUUAUCCGGAUUCACUGGGUUUAAAGGGUGCGCAGGCGGACAUUUAAGUCAGGGGUGAAAUCCUACAGCUUAACUGUAGAACUGCCCUUGAUACUGAAUGCCUAGAGUAAAGCUGAAGUGGGCGGAAUGUGUUGUGUAGCGGUGAAAUGCUUAGAUAUAACACAGAACACCAAUCGCGAAGGCAGCUCACUAAACUUUAACUGACGCUCAUGCACGAAAGCGUGGGGAGCAAACAGGAUUAGAUACCCUGGUAGUCCACGCCCUAAACGAUGAUCACUCGCUGUUGGCGAUAUAUUGUCAGUGGCUAAGCAAAAGUGAUAAGUGAUCCACCUGGGGAGUACGACCGCAAGGUUGAAACUCAAAGGAAUUGACGGGGGCCCGCACAAGCGGAGGAGCAUGUGGUUUAAUUCGAUGAUACGCGAGGAACCUUACCAGGGCUCGAACGCAGGAGGAAUACUCCCGAAAGGAAGUAGCCAGAAAUGGCCGCCUGCGAGGUGCUGCAUGGUUGUCGUCAGCUCGUGCCGUGAGGUGUCAGGUUAAGUCCUAUAACGAGCGCAACCCCUAUUCAUAGUUGCCAGCAUAUUACGGUGGGGACUCUAUGAAAACUGCCUGCGCAAGCAGUGAGGAAGGUGGGGAUGACGUCAAAUCAGCACGGCCCUUAUGUCCUGGGCUACACACGUGCUACAAUGGCCGGUACAGAAGGCCGCAACCACGCAAGUGGAAGCUAAUCCCUAAAACCGGUCUCAGUUCGGAUUGGAGUCUGCAACCCGACUCCAUGAAGCCGGAUUCGCUAGUAAUCGCACAUCAGCCAUGGCGCGGUGAAUACGUUCCCGGGCCU
rnacentral:rRNA from 1 species